rnacentral:sRNA from 1 species
CGUCUCUAUGGUGGCGGCGGAUUUGGACGGACCCUACGAACCAGGAGUCAGGCGAGCCGAUCUGGGGCUGCAGGUGUUACCUCUGAUCUAGGCCGGGGGCUUCAGGGAUCCGAGCCGAGGGAGAAAGCCUUGGGGGCUUCAUCACACUUAUUUGGCUCGCGGGCUUGGGGCCAUCGGGUGGUCCUGUGUCAUCGCCAUUCCUCCUCUGCGAUUCCCCCGUCGCCCCAAAACAGCCCUGGGACUCCCCUGUCUUGCUCCUCGAGACCCUCCCCACGCCAUGUGACCCUCCCCCAUCACCGUCCUCUGGGCACCGCAUCCUAUGACCCAGUCUCAGGCAUCUUCCGAAAUGCUCGAUGAUAGCCGCCUUCGGGCAUCUCCGCUGCGUCUGUUUGUAGCGCGCCUGGUAACUCGGCUGCACCUCCACACAGGAUGUUCCGCUGGGAGCGCUCCAUUCCCCUGCGAGGCUCGGCCGCCGCCCUGUGCAACAACCUCAGUGUGCUGCAGCUGCCGGCUCGCAACCUCACGUAUUUUGGCGUGGUUCAUGGACCAAGCGCCCAGCUUCUCAGCGCUGCUCCUGAGGGUGUGCCCUUGGCCCAGCGCCAGCUCCAUGCUAAGGAGGGUGCUGGAGUGAGCCCCCCACUUAUCACUCAGGUGAGGCAUGGAGUUGGGAGUGAUGUUGCUGAACCCCGUCCUACCCCCAGCCUUUUCUCUCCAAACCUUCAGGAGCAGGCAUGUCCUAACCUCAGAAUCUCCCCUCUCCUGCCGGGCACGGUGGCUCACGCCUGUAAUCCCAACACUUUGGGAGGCCGAGACGGGCACUUGAGGCCAGGAGUUUGAGACCAGCCUGGCCAUCAUGGUGAAACCUCUUCUUUACUAAGAAUACAAAAAAAUUAACCGGGUGUGGUGGCGUGCACCUGUAAUCCCAGCUACUUGGGUGGCUGAGGCAGUAGAAUCGCUUGAACCCAGGAGGCUGAGGUUGCAGUGAGCUGAGAUGGAGCCACUGCACUCCAGCGUGGGCCACAGAGCAAGACUCCAUCCCCCCCCAAAAAAAAGAAAUCUCAUCUUCCCUGCUUUGAUUUUCUCCCUACACUGAUGCACCUCCCUCCAGGUCCACUGGUGUGUCCUCCCCUUCCGAGUGCUGCUGGUACUCACCUCACAUCGAGGAAUACAGAUGUACGAGUCCAAUGGCUACACCAUGGUCUACUGGCAUGCACUGGACUCUGGAGAUGCCUCCCCAGUACAGGCUGUGUUUGCCCGGGGAAUUGCUGCCAGUGGCCACUUCAUCUGUGUGGGAACGUGGUCAGGCCGGGUGCUGGUGUUUGACAUCCCAGCAAAGGGUCCCAACAUUGUACUGAGUGAGGAGCUGGCUGGGCACCAGAUGCCAAUCACAGACAUUGCCACCGAGCCUGCCCAGGGACAGAGUCCCGUGCCCCUCUGUGCAGCUGUGGCAGGGGAUCAUAGCAGCAGGCUAUGGGAAUGGACAAGUGCAUCUGUAUGAGGCCACUACAGGGAAUCUACAUGUCCAGAUCAAUGCCCAUGCCCGGGCCAUCUGCGCCCUGGACCUGGCUUCUGAGGUGGGCAAGCUACUCUCUGCAGGUGAGGAUACCUUUGUGCAUAUCUGGAAGCUCAGCAGAAGCCCAGAGAGUGGCUACAUUGAGGUAUGUGUCAUGGGGUGGGUGGACUUGGGGGGCCCAAGCAUGGGGCAGCAGGCCCUGACCAGCCCUCUGCUCCCCCAGGUGGAACACUGUCAUGGUGAGUGUGUCUCCGACACCCAGCUGUGUGGUGCUCGAUUUUGUGAUUCCUCAGGCAGCUCCUUUGCUGUGACUGGCUAUGACCUUGCGGAGAUCCGGAGAUUCAGCAGUGUGUGAGAAAAGCAGCCUUCCUUUGUCCCUGUGGUAUUCAUAAAGUACCCGCUCCACCCA